AACAACGGCCCUGCACAAUGCUCCAUAAGGACUUAGAGCAUGCACCACGAAGGCCACUGCUACGUACAGCCUUGGGCAACCAAUGCAGAUCCUCCGUGUCCACUCGGGCUUCCUCCAAGUGCUGGUCUGGCCUCUGGCCUCAAAGAAGCGCUCCUUCUAAGAUCUAGCUUCUCUGCUGGAGUCCAUCCGCUUCCAGCUCCACCAGGAGCAGAAUGCUACGCUGACAGUCUAGAGACUGUCCUCUAAAAUCACAGAGGAGCAGUGACAGGGGCGCUGACUCUCCCCGCCACUCAGCAGUGAGGGUCUACGGUGGCUCUCAUCAUCUUUUAUGAGGACUGGAAGGCAAUGCUGGAGAAGAAGCGGUCCUCUGGGUCCUUCUGGCUUGGGUCAAGUUUCUCAAGUUCCACCUGUAAUGCCUUUCUCUAAAGUGAGGAUUACAAUACUGUCUGUUUCAUGGGGCUUUUGUCCCCACAACCAAAUCACGCUCAGCAACAAGGACCUUUAUCUGGUUGAUCCACCUCUCCAGUCUUCGGUACCAUCUGCCACGUGACACCAUCUUCAGGAGAGGCUCGCCAAAGGAGGAAAGGAUGAGGCUAUUCUGUCUGCAGCUUUCAGAAUCAAAAGUGUGAGCUAAGUGGACUUCUU